GUGAGUAGCGGCGAGCGAAAGCGAAAGAGCCUGUUAGUGAUAGCGACAGAGACAGAGGAACAAGCUGGGAAGCUUGGCGACACAGGGUGAUAGCCCCGUACUCGAAGUUCAGGUCGUGGUACUAAGCUAACGAUAAGUAGGGCGGGACACGUGAUAUCCUGUUUGAAGAUGGGGGGACCAUCCUCCAAGGCUAAAUACUCCUGAUUGACCGAUAGUGAACCAGUACUGUGAAGGAAAGGCGAAAAGAACCCCGGUGAGGGGAGUGAAAUAGAACCUGAAACCUUGUACGUACAAGCAGUGGGAGCCCGCAAGGGUGACUGCGUACCUUUUGUAUAAUGGGUCAGCGACUUAUAUUUUGUAGCGAGG
rnacentral:rRNA from 1 species